rnacentral:tRNA from 1 species
GGCCAGUUAGCUCAGUCAGUUGAGCGUAGCGCUAACAACACCUAGGUCACGGGUUCGAUUCCCGUUCGGUCCC